GAAGCAGAGCCUGGAGCAUCUCCACUAUGGCCUGGGCUCCACUACUUCUCACCCUCCUCGCUCACUGCACAGGCUCUUGGGCCAAUUUUAUGCUGACUCAGCCCCACUCUGUGUCUGGGUCUGUGGGACAGAAAGUCGUCAUCUCCUGCACCCGCAGCAGUGGCAGCAUUGGAAGCUACUACGUGCAGUGGUACCAGCAGCGCUCAGGCAGUGCCCCCACCACAGUGAUUUACAAAGAUAACCAAAGACCCACGGGGGUCCCUGAUCGGUUCUCUGGCUCCAUCGACAGCUCCUCCAACUCUGCCUCCCUCACCAUCUCUGGGCUGGAGACUGAGGACAAGGCUGACUACUACUGUCAGUCUUAUGAUAGCAGCAAUCACACAGUGCUCCAGACCCAUGGGGGAGUGAGAAAGAAACUCCCCAGAGCAUCUCUACCUGGGCCAGUCUCAGCCUGUCUCCAGCGGGGAGGGUAGCUCUCCCAUCCCUCCUGCCUAAGUGCUUGAGGUCAGCUUUGCUUAUGACUACCUCUUUUCCUUUUCAAAAUACCAAUCUGUUCUUCCACACCUUGAUGGCUGAUUUUCUGAUAUGUGCACGAUCAAUUGUGGGAUAAAUGUAGUUUAUAAUAGGGUCUCUGAGCCACACCAUUAUUGAUGUUCUGGUUGGGGCUGCCUUGCACAGUGUAAGAUAUUGACUUGCGUCUCUGGCCUCUACCCUUGGAUACUAUGAACACCCUCCCCUCAUUUGUG